UACGGAGGGUGCAAGCGUUAAUCGGAAUUACUGGGCGUAAAGCGUACGUAGGCGGCUUGUUAAGCAAGAUGUGAAAUCCCCGGGCUCAACCUGGGAAUGGCAUUUUGAACUGGCAGGCUCGAGUUCUGAAGAGGGUGGUAGAAUUUCCAGUGUAGCGGUGAAAUGCGUAGAUAUAGGGAGGAACACCGGUUGCGAAGCCGGCCAGCUGGACGGUUCCUGACGCUGAGGCACGAAAGCGUGGGGAGCAAACAGG
rnacentral:rRNA from 1 species